UCUCCCCGGUCCACGUUCGCGAUUAUAUAUAUAGAGAGAGAGAAAAUUGACGCCACUUAGAGAGAGAAAGCAAUGGUGGAUGCACGCUGAGGCAUUUUUACGCGGAGGGAAAACCGAAAGAUUCUCUUAUUAUCUGUGUUGCUUGAAUUUUGGAGGGCUUUGUGGUUUUCUUUUUAGACUGCAAAACAGAGAGCGGGAAGGUGGGAUUUCGUAAGAAGUUAUUCCAAAGAGUAGUGUUGGGGAGAAGGGGAAUUCAUUUUCUCCAAAGGAAUUGGAUUUAGGGUUCGUGCACUGGAUUUGCGAUUUGUCUCGUGCAUUGGCUAGGGUUUUGUUCGUGCACCGGGAAGAAGGGUAACUGCAUUUGCGAUUUGGGUCGUGGACUGGCGAGGGUGUGGUUGCUGCACUGGGAAGAAGGGGAACUGCAAUUUCAAGUAACUAUAGAGGCUGAACUGUGGACAUUGUUGUCUUAAAAAUGGGGUCCAAUUCAUUGAAGGAUUAUUUGAAAAGGUAUGAAAGUAACA